rnacentral:rRNA from 1 species
GACGAACGCUGGCGGCGUGCUUAACACAUGCAAGUCGAACGGAAAGGCCCUGCUUUUGUGGGGUGCUCGAGUGGCGAACGGGGGAGUAACACGUGAGUAACCUGCCCUUGACUGUGGGAUAACUUCAGGAAACUGGGGCUAAUACCGGAUAGGAGCUCCUGCUGCAUGGUGGGGGUUGGAAAGUUUCGGCGGUUGGGGAUGGACUCGCGGCUUAUCAGCUUGUUGGUGGGGUAGUGGCUUACCAAGGCUUUGACGGGUAGCCGGCCUGGGAGGGUGACCGGCCACCUUGGGACUGAGAUACGGCCCAGACUCCUACGGGAGGCAGCAGUGGGGAAUAUUGCACAAUGGGCGGAAGCCUGAUGCAGCAACGCCGCGUGCGGGAUGACGGCCUUCGGGUUGUAAACCGCUUUCGCCUGUGACGAAGCGUGAGUGACGGUAAUGGGUAAAGAAGCACCGGCUAACUACGUG